GACGAACGCUGGCGGCGUGCUUAACACAUGCAAGUCGAACGGUGAAGCCCUUCGGGGUGGAUCAGUGGCGAACGGGUGAGUAACACGUGAGCAACCUGCCCCUGGCUCUGGGACAACCACUGGAAACGGUGGCUAAUACCGGAUACGACCCGCCUCGGCAUCGAGUGUGGGUGGAAAGUUUUUCGGCUGGGGAUGGGCUCGCGGCCUAUCAGCUUGUUGGUGAGGUGAAGGCUCACCAAGGCGACGACGGGUAGCCGGCCUGAGAGGGCGACCGGCCACACUGGGACUGAGACACGGCCCAGACUCCUACGGGAGGCAGCAGUGGGGAAUGUUGCACAAUGGGCGAAAGCCUGAUGCAGCGACGCCGCGUGAGGGAUGACGGCCUUCGGGUUGUAAACCUCUUUCAGCUCCGAAGAAGCGAAAGUGACGGUAGGAGCAGAAGAAGCACCGGCUAACUACGUG
rnacentral:rRNA from 1 species